rnacentral:rRNA from 1 species
GGGGGAAGACUUGGCAAAUCCGGUUUUCCAUAACUCUGAGGUGCGAAGUGGUUCUGACCUUUUGGUACAGAGAAGUCAUUGAUGCCCGGCUUCCAGGAAAAGCUGCUAGCCAUAACUUAUAGAGAACCGUACCGCAAACCGACACAGGUGGACAGGUAGAGAAUACUAAGGCGCUUGAGAGAACUCGGGUGAAGGAACUAGGCAAAAUGGUACCGUAACUUCGGGAGAAGGUACGCCCUUUUGGGUGAGGGCAUUUACUGUCUGAGCUUAAGAGGGCCGCAGAGACCAGGUGGCUGCGACUGUUUAUUAAAAACACAGCACUCUGCAAAUUCGUAAGAAGACGUAUAGGGUGUGACGCCUGCCCGGUGCCGGAAGGUUAAUUGAUGGGGUUAUCUUCGGAGAAGCUCUUGAUCGAAGCCCCGGUAAACGGCGGCCGUAACUAUAACGGUCCUAAGGUAGCGAAAUUCCUUGUCGGGUAAGUUCCGACCUGCACGAAUGGCGUAACGAUGGCCACACUGUCUCCACCCGAGACUCAGUGAAAUUGAAAUCGCUGUGAAGAUGCAGUGUACCCGCGGCUAGACGGAAAGACCCCGUGAACCUUUACUAUAGUUUUGCACUGGACUUUGAUGAUGACUGUGUAGGAUAGGUGGGAGGCUGUGAAGUGAGGACGCUAGUUCUCAUGGAGCCGCCCUUGAAAUACCACCCUGUUGUUAUUGAGGUUCUAACUUGGUCCAGUAAUCCUGGAUGAGGACAGUGUAUGAUGGGUAGUUUGACUGGGGCGGUCUCCUCCCAAAGAGUAACGGAGGAGCACAAAGGUACCCUCGGUACGGUCGGACAUCGUACCAAGAGUGUAAAGGCAAAAGGGUGCUUGACUGCGAGAGUGACGGCUCGAGCAGGAACGAAAGUUGGUCUUAGUGAUCCGGUGGUUCUGAAUGGAAGGGCCAUCGCUCAACGGAUAAAAGGUACUCCGGGGAUAACAGGCUGAUACCGCCCAAGAGUUCAUAUCGACGGCGGUGUUUGGCACCUCGAUGUCGGCUCAUCACAUCCUGGGGCUGAAGCAGGUCCCAAGGGUAUGGCUGUUCGCCAUUUAAAGUGGUACGCGAGCUGGGUUUAGAACGUCGUGAGACAGUUCGGUCCCUAUCUGCCGUGGGCGUAGGAAAAUUGAGAGGAGCUGCUCCUAGUACGAGAGGACCGGAGUGGACGAACCUCUGGUGCACCGGUUGUCACGCCAGUGGCAUGGCCGGGUAGCUAAGUUCGGACGGGAUAACCGCUGAAAGCAUCUAAGCGGGAAGCCUCCCUCAAGAUGAGUUUUCCCAUGAAGCCCGUUGAAGACUACGACGUUGAUAGGCAAGGUGUGGAAGCGCAGUAAUGCGUGAAGCUAACUUGUACUAAUUGGCUGAUUGUCUUGACCAUAUAAUCUGAG